UACGUAGGGCGCGAGCGUUGUCCGGAUUUAUUGGGCGUAAAGAGCUCGUAGGCGGUGUGUCACGUCGGCCGUGAAAACCUGCAGCUUAACUGUGGGCGUGCGGUCGAUACGGGCAUCACUGGAGUUCGGCAGGGGAGACUGGAAUUCCUGGUGUAGCGGUGAAAUGCGCAGAUAUCAGGAGGAACACCGGUGGCGAAGGCGGGUCUCUGGGCCGAUACUGACGCUGGAGGAGCGAAAGCGUGGGGAGCAAACAGG
rnacentral:rRNA from 1 species